rnacentral:rRNA from 1 species
UUAGCUACAGGCUUAACACAUGCAAGUCGAGGGGCAGCAUUUCAGUUUGCUUGCAAACUGGAGAUGGCGACCGGCGCACGGGUGAGUAACACGUAUCCAACCUGCCGAUAACUCGGGGAUAGCCUUUCGAAAGAAAGAUUAAUACCCGAUGGUAUAAUCAGACCGCAUGGUUUGAUUAUUAAAGAAUUUCGGUUAUCGAUGGGGAUGCGUUCCAUUAGGCAGUUGGUGAGGUAACGGCUCACCAAACCUUCGAUGGAUAGGGGUUCUGAGAGGAAGGUCCCCCACAUUGGAACUGAGACACGGUCCAAACUCCUACGGGAGGCAGCAGUGAGGAAUAUUGGUCAAUGGGCGCAGGCCUGAACCAGCCAAGUAGCGUGGAGGAUGACUGCCCUAUGGGUUGUAAACUUCUUUUAUAUGGGAAUAAAGUUUUCCACGUGUGGAAUUUUGUAUGUACCAUAUGAAUAAGGAUCGGCUAACUCCGUGCCAGCAGCCGCGGUAAUACGGAGGAUCCGAGCGUUAUCCGGAUUUAUUGGGUUUAAAGGGAGCGUAGGUGGACAGUUAAGUCAGUUGUGAAAGUUUGCGGCUCAACCGUAAAAUUGCAGUUGAUACUGGCUGUCUUGAGUACAGUAGAGGUGGGCGGAAUUCGUGGUGUAGCGGUGAAAUGCUUAGAUAUCACGAAGAACUCCGAUUGCGAAGGCAGCUCACUGGACUGCAACUGACACUGAUGCUCGAAGGUGUGGGUAUCAAACAGGAUUAGAUACCCUGGUAGUCCACACAGUAAACGAUGAAUACUCGCUGUUUGCGAUAUACAGUAAGCGGCCAAGCGAAAGCAUUAAGUAUUCCACCUGGGGAGUACGCCGGCAACGGUGAAACUCAAAGGAAUUGACGGGGGCCCGCACAAGCGGAGGAACAUGUGGUUUAAUUCGAUGAUACGCGAGGAACCUUACCCGGGCUUAAAUUGCAUUUGAAUAAUCUGGAAACAGGUUAGCCGCAAGGCAAAUGUGAAGGUGCUGCAUGGUUGUCGUCAGCUCGUGCCGUGAGGUGUCGGCUUAAGUGCCAUAACGAGCGCAACCCUUAUCUUUAGUUACUAACAGGUCAUGCUGAGGACUCUAGAGAGACUGCCGUCGUAAGAUGUGAGGAAGGUGGGGAUGACGUCAAAUCAGCACGGCCCUUACGUCCGGGGCUACACACGUGUUACAAUGGGGGGUACAGAAGGCAGCUACCUGGUGACAGGAUGCUAAUCCCAAAAGCCUCUCUCAGUUCGGAUCGAAGUCUGCAACCCGACUUCGUGAAGCUGGAUUCGCUAGUAAUCGCGCAUCAGCCAUGGCGCGGUGAAUACGUUCCCGGGCCUUGUACACACCGCCCGUCAAGCCAUGAAAGCCGGGGGUACCUGAAGUACGUAACCGCAAGGAGCGUCCUAGGGUAAAACUGGUAAUUGGGGCU